rnacentral:rRNA from 1 species
AGCAGUGGGGAAUCUUGCGCAAUGGGCGAAAGCCUGACGCAGCCAUGCCGCGUGUAUGAUGAAGGUCUUAGGAUUGUAAAAUACUUUCACCGGUGAAGAUAAUGACUGUAGCCGGAGAAGAAGCCCCGGCUAACUUCGUGCCAGCAGCCGCGGUAAUACGAAGGGGGCUAGCGUUGCUCGGAAUUACUGGGCGUAAAGGGAGCGUAGGCGGACAUUUAAGUCAGGGGUGAAAUCCCAGAGCUCAACUCUGGAACUGCCUUUGAUACUGGAUGUCUUGAGUGUGAGAGAGGUAUGUGGAACUCCGAGUGUAGAGGUGAAAUUCGUAGAUAUUCGGAAGAACACCAGUGGCGAAGGCGACAUACUGGCUCAUUACUGACGCUGAGG